GCGACGUUCGAUUCUGCACCAUAAACGGAACGGCUACGGGCAAGGCGCUGGGGGGCGCCGCUGGUGCCGGAGACUGGAAAGGCGGCAUUGUGGAAAGGUUGAUCUACAAUGACCAGCCCAAACCUUGUCACCUGUGGUGACAACAUCAAAAUCUGGGACUCCAGUGGAUAUUCAUUACUCCACCAGUUUCAGCCCAACAACACUAAUGAUGACGUGGUGACGGACGUCUGCUGGAGCCGGGAUGGCAGCAUGGUGGCCAGCGUGGUCAGCCGGCAGGCGCAGCUGGUCGUCACCGGCGUCUCGGCGCACAGCACGCGCCAGCUGACGGCCGCCACA